GACGUAGGUGGCGAACGUUAUCCGGAAUUAUUGGGCGUAAAGGGUGCGUAGGUGGCCUGACAAGUUAUCAGUGGCAAAUCGAGGCUCAACCUCGUGGAAACUGGUAAUACUGUCCGGCUUGAGUACAGGAGAGGUUAACGGAACUCUAUGUGGAGCGGUAAAAUGCAAAGAUAUAUAGAAGAACAUCAAUAACGGCGAAGGCAGUUAACUAUUCUGUUACUGACGCUGAGGCACGAAAGCGUGGGGAGCAAAACGG
rnacentral:rRNA from 1 species